rnacentral:rRNA from 1 species
GACGAACGCUGGCGGCGUGCUUAACACAUGCAAGUCGAACGGGCCCGCCCCUGUUUUUGGGGGUGGGUUGAGUGGCGAACGGGUGAGUAUCACGUGAGUAACCUGCCCCCUGCUCCUGGAUAACUGCUUGAAAGGGCGGCUAAUACGGGGUGUGCCGGCUGGUCCGCAUGGGCCUGGUCGGGAUAGUUUCAUCUUCGGGUGUUUCGGUGGGGGAUGGGCUCGCGGCCUAUCAGCUUGUUGGUGGGGUGAUGGCCCACCAAGGCGGUGACGGGUAGCCGGCCUGAGAGGGUGGGCGGCCACACUGGGACUGAGGCACGGCCCAGACUCCUGCGGGAGGCAGCAGUGGGGGGUAUUGCACAAUGGGCGGAAGCCUGAUGCAGCGACGUCGCGUGAGGGAUGGAGGCCGUCGGGUUGUGAACCUCUUUCUCCGGUGGUGAAGGCCCUGUCCGUUGCGGCGGGGUUGACGGUAGCCGGGGAUGAAGCGCCGGCUAACUACGUG